rnacentral:misc_RNA from 1 species
GUAGGUGAACCUGCGGAAGGAUCAUUACAGAGUUCAUGCCCUCACGGGUAGACCUCCCACCCUUGAAUAUAUACCUUUGUUGCUUUGGCGGGCCGCUUCGGCUACUGGCUUCGGCUAGUGAGUGCCCGCCAGAGGACCUAAAACUCUGAAUUAUAGUGUCGUCUGAGUACUAUAUAAUAGUUAAAACUUUCAACAACGGAUCUCUUGGUUCUG